rnacentral:sRNA from 1 species
UAAACUGUUAGCAACAUAGCCCACACCGUC